rnacentral:rRNA from 1 species
UGGGGAAUAUUGCACAAUGGGCGAAAGCCUGAUGCAGCGACGCCGCGUGCGGGAUGAAGGCCUUCGGGUUGUAAACCGCUUUUAAUUGGGAGCAAGCGAGAGUGAGUGUACCUUUUGAAUAAGCACCGGCUAACUACGUGCCAGCAGCCGCGGUAAUACGUAGGGUGCAAGCGUUAUCCGGAAUUAUUGGGCGUAAAGAGCUCGUAGGCGGUUUGUCACGCCUGGUGUGAAAGUCCAUCGCUUAACGGUGGAUCUGCGCCGGGUACGGGCAGGCUAGAGUGCAGUAGGGGAGAUUGGAAUUCCCGGUGUAACGGUGGAAUGUGUAGAUAUCGGGAAGAACACCAAUGGCGAAGGCAGAUCUCUGGGCUGUUACUGACGCUGAGGAGCGAAAGCAUGGGGAGCGAACAGGAUUAGAUACCCUGGUAGUCCAUGCCGUAAACGGUGGAUGCUGGAUGUGGGGCCCUUCCACGGGCUCCGUGUCGGAGCUAACGCGUUAAGCAUCCCGCCUGGGGAGUACGGCCGCAAGGCUAAAACUCUAAGUGAAUUGAC